UAAGGUGAUUAUAGCGAUGGGGCUCACCUCUUACCUUUCCGAACAGAGAAGUUAAGCCCACUUGCGCCGAUGGUACUGCAAUGCAAUGCGGGAGAGUAGGUCGCCGCCUCCU
rnacentral:rRNA from 1 species